GGGAUAUGGAAGAACCGGGGAAACUUGGUUCUUCCUAAGUCCU
rnacentral:misc_RNA from 1 species